rnacentral:rRNA from 1 species
CGCCGCCACGGGAAUACGAAGGGUGCAAGCGUUAAUCGGAAUUACUGGGCGUAAAGCGCGCGUAGGUGGUUUGGUAAGAUGGAUGUGAAAUCCCCGGGCUCAACCUGGGAACUGCAUCCAUAACUGCCUGACUAGAGUACGGUAGAGGGUGGUGGAAUUUCCUGUGUAGCGGUGAAAUGCGUAGAUAUAGGAAGGAACACCAGUGGCGAAGGCGACCACCUGGACUGAUACUGACACUGAGGUGCAAAAGCGUGGGGAGCAAACAGGAUUAGAUACCCCUGUAGUCCCUGUCUCUUAUACC